rnacentral:rRNA from 1 species
AGUGAACGCUGGCGGUAGGCCUAACACAUGCAAGUCGAACGGCAGCACAGUAAGAGCUUGCUCUUACGGGUGGCGAGUGGCGGACGGGUGAGGAAUACAUCGGAAUCUACUUUUUCGUGGGGGAUAACGUAGGGAAACUUACGCUAAUACCGCAUACGACCUACGGGUGAAAGCAGGGGAUCUUCGGACCUUGCGCGAUUGAAUGAGCCGAUGUCGGAUUAGCUAGUUGGCGGGGUAAAGGCCCACCAAGGCGACGAUCCGUAGCUGGUCUGAGAGGAUGAUCGGCCACACUGGAACUGAGACGCGGUCCAGACUCCUACGGGAGGCAGCAGUGGGGAAUAUUGGACAAUGGGCGCAAGCCUGAUCCAGCCAUACCGCGUGGGUGAAGAAGGCCUUCGGGUUGUAAAGCCCUUUUGUUGGGAAAGAAAAGCAGCAGGUUAAUACCCCGCUGUUCUGACGGUACCCAAAGAAUAAGCACCGGCUAACUUCGUG